AGCGAACGCUGGCGGCAGGCCUAACACAUGCAAGUCGAACGGUAACAGGUCUUCGGAUGCUGACGAGUGGCGAACGGGUGAGUAAUACAUCGGAACGUGCCUAGUAGUGGGGGAUAACUACUCGAAAGAGUGGCUAAUACCGCAUGAGAUCUACGGAUGAAAGCAGGGGAUCGCAAGACCUUGUGCUACUAGAGCGGCCGAUGGCAGAUUAGGUAGUUGGUGGGAUAAAAGCUUACCAAGCCGACGAUCUGUAGCUGGUCUGAGAGGACGAUCAGCCACACUGGGACUGAGACACGGCCCAGACUCCGACGGGAGGCAGCAGUGGGGAAUUUUGGACAAUGGGCGAAAGCCUGAUCCAGCAAUGCCGCGUGCAGGAUGAAGGCCUUCGGGUUGUAAACUGCUUUUGUACGGAACGAAAAGCCCCGGGUUAAUACCCUGGGGUCAUGACGGUACCGUAAGAAUAAGCACCGGCUAACUACGUGCCAGCAGCCGCGGUAA
rnacentral:rRNA from 1 species